UUGAACGCUGGCGGCAGGCCUAACACAUGCAAGUCGAACGGUAACAGGAAGCAGCUUGCUGCUUUGCUGACGAGUGGCGGACGGGUGAGUAAUGUCUGGGAAACUGCCUGAUGGAGGGGGAUAACUACUGGAAACGGUAGCUAAUACCGCAUAACGUCGCAAGACCAAAGAGGGGGACCUUCGGGCCUCUUGCCAUCGGAUGUGCCCAGAUGGGAUUAGCUAGUAGGUGGGGUAACGGCUCACCUAGGCGACGAUCCCUAGCUGGUCUGAGAGGAUGACCAGCCACACUGGAACUGAGACACGGUCCAGACUCCUACGGGAGGCAGCAGUGGGGAAUAUUGCACAAUGGGCGCAAGCCUGAUGCAGCCAUGCCGCGUGUAUGAAGAAGGCCUUCGGGUUGUAAAGUACUUUCAGCGGGGAGGAAGGGAGUAAAGUUAAUACCUUUGCUCAUUGACGUUACCCGCAGAAGAAGCACCGGCUAACUCCGUGCCAGCAGCCGCGGUAAUACGGAGGGUGCAAGCGUUAAUCGGAAUUACUGGGCGUAAAGCGCACGCAGGCGGUUUGUUAAGUCAGAUGUGAAAUCCCCGGGCUCAACCUGGGAACUGCAUCUGAUACUGGCAAGCUUGAGUCUCGUAGAGGGGGGUAGAAUUCCAGGUGUAGCGGUGAAAUGCGUAGAGAUCUGGAGGAAUACCGGUGGCGAAGGCGGCCCCCUGGACGAAGACUGACGCUCAGGUGCGAAAGCGUGGGGAGCAAACAGGAUUAGAUACCCUGGUAGUCCACGCCGUAAACGAUGAGUGCUAAGUGUUAGGGGGUUUCCGCCCCUUAGUGCUGCAGCUAACGCAUUAAGCACUCCGCCUGGGGAGUACGACCGCAAGGUUGAAACUCAAAGGAAUUGACGGGGGCCCGCACAAGCAGUGGAUUAUGUGGUUUAAUUCGACGCAACGCGAAGAACCUUACCUGGUCUUGACAUCCACGGAAGUUUUCAGAGAUGAGAAUGUGCCUUCGGGAACCGUGAGACAGGUGCUGCAUGGCUGUCGUCAGCUCGUGUUGUGAAAUGUUGGGUUAAGUCCCGCAACGAGCGCAACCCUUAUCCUUUGUUGCCAGCGAGUAAUGUCGGGAACUCUAAGAAGACUGCCGGUGAUAAAUCGGAGGAAGGUGGGGAUGACGUCAAAUCAUCAUGCCCCUUAUGACCUGGGCUACACACGUGCUACAAUGGCGCAUACAAAGAGAAGCGACCUCGCGAGAGCAAGCGGACCUCAUAAAGUGCGUCGUAGUCCGGAUUGGAGUCUGCAACUCGACUCCAUGAAGUCGGAAUCGCUAGUAAUCGUGGAUCAGAAUGCCACGGUGAAUACGUUCCCGGGCCUUGUACACACCGCCCGUCACACCAUGGGAGUGGGUUGCAAAAGAAGUAGGUAGCUUAACCUUCAGGAGGGCGCUUACCACUUUGUGAUUCAUGACUGGGGUG
rnacentral:rRNA from 1 species